GUCGUGCCUCCCUCGAAAGCAAAUCGUCGUCCAGAUCUGCAUCGCCGAGCCGUCUAGGUCCUCGCCGCCGCAUGUGCUUCACCCUUGCAGUUCGCCGUAACCCAGAUCCGUCGCUGCAAUCGUCGGUCGGUUCGUGAAGCAAGCCGUACGCGUCACCUUGCAGCAGUCGUCAGAUCUGCGUCGCCGUGCCCAUUCCUUUCCUCUCCGUUCGUGAAGACCUGCUGCGCAAUCUCUGUCUCCGUCGAAGCCAAGCCUAGCCGCCGCCCGUUCCUUUCUUCUCCGUUUUCUACACUGCCGCGCGACUCUCCGACCGCGUCUGUCUUCACCUCCGUGAAGCCGUCGACGCAUACAUCUCGUGAAGUCAUACACGGAUCCAAGUCGAUCUCUUCCUAAAUUACGUGUCCCCUAUCAAGUCGACGUUCUUCUGCUCGUUGUAAGACGGAGUUACGAUUUGAAGCCGAUUUUCUUUUCCAGUUGAGUCGCAUUCAGUGUUGCUCUAUUUACAGCCGCUUGAUUCGUUCUUGAUUGUCAUUUUUGCCUCGCCGUGAACCAUUGGGCUCAUAUUUGGGUACAUCUUGAUUCAGUGAGCGAAUCCUUGAUUUUCCAAAAGGUUGAAGUGGACUUGAUUUUCCACUUCUUGGGAUUUGAUUCAUUGGAUUUAGUAGAUUGAAGAACUUGCAUAAAAGUGAGGUAAGGGAUUUUAUUUUCUACUGGACUCACCUAUGCUUUUGAAUUGUAAUGUUAGUCACCUCUGAUUGAGUAAAUGUGUUGAGACAAUAUAUAUAUACGUAUGGAUGUAGGUUCGGUGUUGAAUGUAUACUGUGGAUGACUGAAAAUAUAUA